rnacentral:rRNA from 1 species
UUGGGAAUCUUGCACAAUGGGGGAAACCCUGAUGCAGCGACGCCGCGUGGAGGAUGACGGAUCUAGGUCUGUAAACUCCUUUUGUUGGGAAAGACUUAGGACGGUACCCAACGAAUAAGCACCGGCUAACUACGUGCCAGCAGCCGCGGUAAGACGUAGGGUGCAAGCGUUGUCCGGAUUUACUGGGCGUAAAGAGCGCGUAGGCGGCUCGUUAAGUGUGAAGCUAAAGCUCUGGGCUCAACCCAGAAACUAUUUCGCAUACUGGCGGGCUAGAGGGAUGCAGAGGUUUGUGGAAUUCCUGGUGUAGCGGUGAAAUGCGUUGAUAUCAGGAGGAACACCCAUGGCGAAGGCAGCAAACUGGGCAUCAUCUGACGCUGAGGCGCGAAAGCGUGGGUAGCAAACAGGAUUAGAUACCCCUGUAGUCC